rnacentral:rRNA from 1 species
CCAGGAAAUAAAUCCUAGGUGACACCUGCCCAAUGGAACUUAAUCCAAAAAGUUCAAAAAACUUCUAAUAGUUCUAAAUGGACGCGUUAACCUGAGCGUGAUAAUGUAGCAUAAUCACUUGCCACUUAAUUAGUGGAUAGUAUGAAAGGUAUAACGAAUCUUUCACUGUCUUUUUUAAAGAAAUCAUAAAAUUAAAAUAAUAGUCAAGAUGCUAUUUAAAACUGUAAGACGAAAAGACCCUAUAGAGCUUAACUAUAAUUUACUUCAAAAAAAAAUUACCAAAAAUAAUAAAAAAAAAGUAAACUGGUAGUUUAGUUGGGGCGACUAUCUUCUAAAAAUAACGAAGACAAGCUAUAAUUAAAAUUAAAUUUUAUUGUAUAAUAAACAAAUUUAACAAUUACUAAAGUAGGCUUUAAUGACCCGUUACUAUAAAAAGGAAUAAGUAACAAUAAUUGAAUAAAAGCUACCUUAGGGAUAACAGGGUUAUUUUGUAUAACAGACCUCAUGAAAUACAAAGUUUGCCACCUCUAUGUUGAAUUAAGAUAUCCUAAAGGCGCAGAAGCUUUUAAGGGUUGGUCUGUUCGACCAUUAAAAU